rnacentral:lncRNA from 1 species
CAGAAGGAAGAUACAGGAGCAGAUCAACAGAAGGAAGAUACAGGAGCAGAUCAACCUGAGGAAAUUGUGGGGCCCAAGAAAAGAAAAACAGGUUAACAAAUAUAAAUUUUAAUUUUAAUCACAUUAUUGAUAGAGGGUUGAUGCUCACAGGGAAGCAAUUAAACCAAGAGUGCCAAAUGGUGACGUUGUAACCAUCCCUUCGUAAAUUUGACGAACGCUUUAACAUGAUAUAUCUGUUCAAAAUAUAUAUGCAAAUUUUCGAUGGAGGCAGCCAUGCAAACCCUUACUGAAAUAUAUCACGUCAUAGAACGUUCGUGCAAAAUUUCGAAGAGUUUUUUUUUAGUUUUAUGUUUCGAGUCUGUUACAUGACCUAACGCUAAGUAAACGGGUUUUUUUUUCUGAUAAUCUGUCUUCCAAUACCUACGUAAAUGUACAUGCAGUAUAUUUUUAUUCUUCUUCUUUCUUAAUGUAAACAAUUUGAGACACAAUCUUUAUUUCUAUAUAUUAUUAGACGUAUUUAUUUCAGAAUUUCUAAGAAAAUAUUUCCGUAAGAUAUUUUCGAAGCGCUAUUUUUCGUGGCAGUAGCAAUAUCCAGUCAGUAUCGUGAAAGUGCAUAAACAAUUAAAUGUAGUAGGAUUUUAAUGUAUUGAUAAAAAAACAUCAAUACUUACAUCAAUAAAAACAAUUAAAGGUGUUAUUACAGUGUUGAAUAAGUAACCUUUUGGAAUAGGUUUAUUUAAUGGAUCGGUAAGUUUACCGGAUUUAAGUUUCCGGGCUCGGUUAACAACAUCAUCGUUAAAUUAGGGAUGUUUUAGGAUUUAAAUUUAUGAUUUAAAUCCUUCUUCUCUGCUGAAGAAGGAAAAUAUGAUGGCGGAAUUACUGGAAGUAUGAUGCGAUGAUUGAAGCGGUUAACUGAAGCGAUUAACUUUCUCUUUGGUAACACUUACGUUUGUUUCGUCAAUAAAUUGUAUCGAUAGUGUUAGAUAUUUACAGGAGCACAAAUUGUUGCUUCCCUUUAAUAGCAGACUUAUUGCUUUGUCUGACAGUGUAUAAACAAACUCAGUUAAGGCUCAUCUAAAUUUUAUUUGAUUAAUAAAUUCAACAAAACUUAUUGUUAAUGUGAUUACAUGUUUUCGGUUAAUAGAGGUUUCUCAACAUCUUACGAACGGACGAAACUCUACGAACAUAUCUUUAAGGAGCAGUCAUUUUGUUAUAAUAAAAUCCAGGAUAAAUGUCUACCGAUAUUGCAGUGUCUUAAAAGACAACAGAUAACAAUUGCAUAGUCUUUUUUCAACCUUGCAAAUUAUUUUUGUGCUUAAAAAUCGGUGUUCCAAUUAAUUUUCUGUUGUUGAAUGAAACGUAUACUUACGUUGAGUUUCGAUUAUUUACAUGUCUAAUAUAUUCGUUCGAUUUAUCUCCCUUAUUCAGUUAUAAAGAACAUUGUCAGUUUGUAAUAUUGUUAAAAACAAUCGGCGUGUUUGGUUGACAUUUGCAUUUGAUUGAUUGUUAGAUGUUUAACGUUCUGUGGCAGGUAUUCCAUGCUUUUCACGACGAGAUAAGCGUUUGUAAAAGGAUUGAGAAACAAUUGAGAUGACACAAAUUUAGUAUGUUUUAAUUUCUUAUAUCAACACAUUCUUUAUAAAUAUGGAACGAGUAAAGGAGGUUGAGUUUGGGAAAAUUCUGUCUCCCAGAAUAAAGCACACAGCAGUGAAGUUUCAAUGUGCCCUAGGUCCAAUUGGUCCGACAUGCUGUUAAAUUAUUUUUGGGGAUAAGUUCCAGAAAUAUAAAGGUGCGCUCGAUCAAUCGUAAAGUUAUAGAGUUUUGUGUAUUCUUGUUGAAAGAAAAAAGAAAAAGUAAGAAAAAUAAGAUCCGAAGAAAACAUGUAGAGCAUGCCAUAAAAACUCCCCGAAAAUUUUAAAAAAAAAAUAAUUAUAUGUUUACUAAAAUUUGUACGAUAAUAAAACAUACACAAAGAGAAUAAGAACUGCCAUGAAAAAAAAAAAAAAUUAAAUACAUUACAGAACAUCUUUUUAAAGUGUUAACUAUAGGUUUUAUUUUAAAUAUUUAGUUUAAUGUUUCCUUUCUUGAGUUUAUUAGUUUAGCUAGAAUAUCAAUCAGUUAUUAUCAUUUAAUUCAUUUGAAUUUUAGAGUUCGGACAGCGUAGUUACCCCGGAUCCGACGAUUUAAAAAAAAAAAAAUUAAAAACCAGAGGCGUUCACGCCUAGAUUAAUUUUACCUCAUGUUUGUGAAAGACCUUCUUCCAUUGAUUUGAUCCUUGAUAAAAUUCAAAAAGAUUCCUACCCCCUUCCAUUUCAAAGUUCUAUAUUUACCCUUUUUCAUGUAUGCACUAAAGAAUUCGAAAUGAUGUUGUCAUGUUUAUUAAAAUCUUUUGUACGAUUGCUGUCCUAAGUCUGAAUAUUGGUUUUGAAUUAACCGUAACUUGUAUAUAUCAUAUAUUCUAUAAACAUGCAUAUAUCAUGUCAAUAUAAUAUUUCUACGACUCAAAAUGGUCUUACAAAAUCCAGAAUGUAUAUAUUUUGUAUGUAAAAGACAUUUCAGAGGGAAGAAGCCGAUAGUCAAAAACUAUUGAAUAAAUGAAUGCGGAUCCUGUUUUCUCGUUACGGCAAGUUGCGUCAAGUUAGGUCAAUUUUCGUUCGUUCGUAAGAUGUUGAGAAACCUCUAAUAAGCAAAUAUUUUCUAAAUAUACUCCCGAACUUACUUUAUAUAAAUAAAAUAUAAACGAGCAUAACUGUCCUUUCCUAGAUUUAUAUAUUUGGAUUUACACGGGAACCUCUACAAAAAGAACGAGUUGUAUUUCCCUGCUGUUAAUUUUCAUUUUUAGAUGGUGAUGUUCUAUUUUGCACAAUCUUUUUCGCUAUGCCUUUGUCUGUUGUGAACUAAUGGAUUUCAAUGAGCCAAAGCUAUGUAUUACUGGUAAAUAACUAAGUCAGGGAUUGCAUUACCUCAAAUUGAUCAAAACUUAGUUAUCAGUCCUUAUCAAAUGGCAAAAUAAAAAGCUCAAACACAUGGAAUUGUUUUCUCUUGACUUUUGAAUACCGGUAUACUUAUGUUGCCUUUAUUUAUCACAUCAUAGAAACCGCAAUCUGGUACUCCUUCCUAGUUUGUGACAUCACCGAAUAAGACUUAUUCUCGAGUUUAUAUUAUUUAAUUUAUAUUAUUUAUGAUCAACAUGAUUUGGGAUUUUUAAACCUGAAAUGAGCAACUGAGAUCACCCAAGGUGUUUUAGUCACUUUGGUUUUUUUUGGGGGGAGGGGGGGGGGGGUUUAUUUUGUGAUGGAGUUAUUGGUAUUUCAUAUUCUUUCAGAUACAAGAUUUUAUUGUUAAUUUUGACAUUUGUCUAGUCCUGAUCAAUCCAAAAUUAUAGUUCAUAAUCGAAAUAUGAGAUAUUACUAGAAGCGGACUGUUUCUGACUAGAUAGUUUUGAUGGAUUGAUGAGGAAUAUCGAUUUUAAAGUAUUUAGUAACUUAUUGAAGGGUAACAAUCACAAUUUAUACUGAAAUAAUGUUGGUAAAACAUAAAGCACCUUUAAAAAUAAACACGGUUGAAAAGAUGCUCAAAUUUUUAUAUACGGACACAUUUUUAAAUUGAUUUUGAACUUUGUAUUUUUCAGAAUGAAGCGCACAUAACAUGUAAGAGGUAGCUGAAAGCCAGCAACAUGAUAAAGAUUUCCCCUUGAAUUCAGAAAAAGAAACAAAUGUGAUCUAGCCUCCCCCCCCAAAAA